rnacentral:lncRNA from 1 species
AAGAUUUCCCAGAUACUGAGGACCUCAGUCUCCUCACCACCACGAUUCCUGCACACCGAUGCAUUCCUUUAAAAGGAAAGCAGCUGGAACAUUAAUGGCAAUUCCACUUUCCCAUUCAUCGCCCCCGCCCCCACCACCCCACCAAGAAACUCAGUGGGAAUGAAUGGUCUACACAGAGAAACUGAAAUCUGGUUAGUCAAGAAGGAAAAAACAACCAAGUGCCUGGCAUUAAGAGGAUUUUUUUUUUAAGCUCAGCCUAUGGACAACAAAAGCAUGGACUGUAUUUCUCAGCAUCUUUUGCAGCUUAUUGUUGAAAGUCCAGUGAGCUACCUCAGGCUUUUCUCUGUGGAAUGACUGUUGCAGAGAACUGCACCUCAGAAGAAUGGAGUUUAAAACUGUGAUGACAUUCUACCUCAUUGAAGAAAUCCUCCAGUGCCAAGGGUGGAUCUCUAAAGAAGGAUUCAAUCCAGGAUCACAUCUUAUAUUUACAAUAACAUGCCUUUUUUCUCCUUCAGUCUGGAACCGUGUCUCAGUCUAUCUUUGUUCUUUAUGACAUUGACAUAUUUUAAAGAAUAAAAGCCAAUUCUUUUAUGCACCAUC